rnacentral:rRNA from 1 species
GUCGAGAAUCUUUCACAAUGGGGGCAACCCUGAUGGAGCGACGCCGCGUGGAGGAUAAGGUCUUCGGAUUGUAAACUCCUGUCAUGCGUGAACAAGGUUGCUUGGUUAAUACCUGGGCAAAUUGAUGGUAACGCAAGAGGAAGAGACGGCUAACUCUGUGCCAGCAGCCGCGGUAAUACAGAGGUCUCAAGCGUUGUUCGGAAUCACUGGGCGUAAAGGGUGCGUAGGGGGCGUGGUAAGUCAGAUGUGAAAGCCCGGGGCUCAACCUCGGAACUGCAUCCGAUACUGCCAUGCUAGAGUACUGGAGAGGUGACUAGAAUUCUCGGUGUAGCAGUGAAAUGCGUAGAUAUCGAGAGGAAUACCAAAGGCGUAGGCAGGUCACUGGACAGUUACUGACACUGAGGCACGAAGGCCAGGGGAGCGAACGGGAUUAGAAACCCUAGUAGUCC